rnacentral:rRNA from 1 species
AUCCGAGCUUCGGUUCGGUGAGAGUGGCGGACGGGUGAGUAACGCGUGGGAACCUGCCCAGUGGUGGGGGAUAACUGCGGGAAACUGCAGCUAAUACCGCAUGAGCCCGAGAGGGGAAAGAUUUAUCGCCAUUGGAGGGGCCCGCGUUCGAUUAGGUAGUUGGUGAGGUAACGGCUCACCAAGCCGACGAUCGAUAGCUGGUCUGAGAGGAUGAUCAGCCACACUGGGACUGAGAUACGGCCCAGACUCCUACGGGAGGCAGCAGUGGGGAAUAUUGGACAAUGGGGGCAACCCUGAUCCAGCAAUGCCGCGUGAGUGAUGAAGGCCUUCGGGUUGUAAAGCUCUUUUGCCAGGGACGAUGAUGACGGUACCUGGAGAAUAAGCCCCGGCUAACUUCGUGCCAGCAGCCGCGGUAAUACGAAGGGGGCAAGCGUUGUUCGGAAUUACUGGGCGUAAAGGGCGCGUAGGCGGCUUAUCAAGUCAGGCGUGAAAUUCCCGGGCUCAACCUGGGGGCUGCGCUUGAUACUGAUUGGCUUGAAUGCGGGAAAAGGAUAGUGGAAUUCCCAGUGUAGAGGUGAAAUUCGUAAAUUUUGGGGAAGAACACCGGUGGGCGAAGGCGGCUAUCUGGGCCCGUAAUUGACGCUAAGGCGCGAAAGCGUGGGGAGCAAACAGGAUUAAAUACCCUGGUAGUCCACGCCGUAAACGAUGAAUGCUAAACGUUGCGAACAUGCUCGUCAGUGUCGGAACUAACGCAUUAACAUUCCGCCUGGGGAGUACGGUCCCAAAAUUAAAAACUCAAAG